AUACGUAGGGGGCGAGCGUUGUCCGGAAUCAUUGGGCGUAAAGCGCGCGCAGGCGGUCCCUUAAGUCUGAUGUGAAAUCUUGCGGCUCAACCGCAAGAGGUCAUUGGAAACUGGGGGACUUGAGUGCAGGAGAGGGAAGCGGAAUUCCAUGUGUAGCGGUGAAAUGCGUAGAGAUAUGGAGGAACACCAGUGGCGAAGGCGGCUUCCUGGCCUGUAACUGACGCUCAGGCGCGAAAGCGUGGGGAGCAAACAGGAUUAGAUACCCUGGUAGUCCACGCCGUAAACGAUGAGUGCUAGGUGUUGGAGGGAUUUACCCUUCAGUGCUGGAGCUAACGCAUUAAGCACUCCGCCUGGGGAGUACGGCCGCAAGGCUGAA
rnacentral:rRNA from 1 species